ACUUGUGGGAGAGGAAGGAAACAACAUAACCCUUCCAAAAAUUCAAUCGUUCGUAACUUUCAAUCCGGAGCUCUAAUUGACGAGCUGUUAGUGACCACAUGUUUAUCUCUAAAUUCUCUACAAAAUCUUUCGAAGAAUUUGGUGAAUUCUAGCGGUGUAUAUUCAUUGGAUUUUGUCUAUUUGACUCGUGGUUAACGGUGAUUAAGCUUGAGGAAUUGACAUUUGAAAGCUUGGAGUUUGUGAAAGGAGAGGUUUUUGAGGUGUUACAAGUUUAGGGAGGAAUUGGUCAAGGUAUGGUUUUAGUUUCUCGUAGAUAAUAUAUAAUGUUUUUGUGAAAACAUAGGCUAGAUGACCAUAGGAUAUGUUGAAAAUGUGGGGAUAUGUUAAUGCUAGAAACCUUGAUGAAAAUGUAAAAUUAUAUUGCGAAUGAUUCGAUGAAUGAUGAUUUUGUUGAGUUGGUUAUAGGAAUUGUGUUAAUUAAAGUUAUUAAUAGGAGUUGAUGAAUGUGAGUAUAGAUGAUGAAAUAUUGAGGAUUGGUUGAGUUAUGUGUGUGUGUGUG